rnacentral:lncRNA from 1 species
GUUAAGUGGUGAGGUUGCAGCAGCGGCUAAGCCUAUGUUUGGUGGCUAAACUUACGAGUACAAGAAAUGAGAGGGGGAAGAUCUACGCAUAGCGGACGUGAACUACGGAUGAUCAACUGAAUGACCCUGAACACCUACCUACGUCAGUCAUAACCCCACCGUGUCCUCGAUCGGAGAAAGAACUCACGAAAGAGACAGUCACGGUUACGCACACAGUUGGCAUAUUUUAAUUAAGUUAACUUCAAGUUAUCUAGAACCAGUGUUAAACAAAGUUUCCACGUUGCCACAUAACCGCGGGCACGGCUUUCCGAAAGAUUUAACCCUGCAGGGGUGCUCCAACUAGUCCAUCACAAAUUACCACAAGCCGCAUAGAAAUACUCAAUCACGAAGCUCGCGAUCUCGUCGGAUUCCCUAAUGGAAAACCUCAACUCUGAGAUUACCCAAAGCAUUACCGGAAUCCCGAUGCACAAGAUAUCUCGUCAAAGGUAAAACUAAUCCAGCAAGGCCGCCCGACGUGUCGACGAUCCCGAUAGGAGUCGCGUACCUCGUUCUUAGGACACGGCGGAUGAGCUAGACGUCGGGAUCGCUAAACCUCCGGGUGACCAGAGGGGCGCCGGACAUCGCUCAGGUGGGACCAACACUCAUGAGGAGCACUGGCCCGGGGGUUGAUUAAAUUAUCCUCGGGGUCCGGAAAGUCCCUAUGCAAUUUAUUAGGUGUUUAGGCAAAUGUAGUACCAAAGUUGGGCCUUGCCAGACCAGCUUUAAUCUAAAACGAAUUAUCAAGGGGGUCCCCAUAACAACCC